GUAGAACGCUGAAGAGAGGAGCUUGCUCUUCUUGGAUGAGUUGCGAACGGGUGAGUAACGCGUAGGUAACCUGCCUUGUAGCGGGGGAUAACUAUUGGAAACGAUAGCUAAUACCGCAUAACAAUGGAUGACACAUGUCAUUUAUUUGAAAGGGGCAAUUGUUCCACUACAAGAUGGACCUGCGUUGUAUUAGCUAGUAGGUGAGGUAAUGGCUCACCUAGGCGACGAUACAUAGCCGACCUGAGAGGGUGAUCGGCCACACUGGGACUGAGACACGGCCCAGACUCCUACGGGAGGCAGCAGUAGGGAAUCUUCGGCAAUGGGGGCAACCCUGACCGAGCAACGCCGCGUGAGUGAAGAAGGUUUUCGGAUCGUAAAGCUCUGUUGUAAGUCAAGAACGGGUGUGAGAGUGGAAAGUUCACACUGUGACGGUAGCUUACCAGAAAGGGACGGCUAACUACGUGCCAGCAGCCGCGGUAAUACGUAGGUCCCGAGCGUUGUCCGGAUUUAUUGGGCGUAAAGCGAGCGCAGGCGGUUUGAUAAGUCUGAAGUUAAAGGCUGUGGCUCAACCAUAGUUCGCUUUGGAAACUGUCAAACUUGAGUGCAGAAGGGGAGAGUGGAAUUCCAUGUGUAGCGGUGAAAUGCGUAGAUAUAUGGAGGAACACCGGUGGCGAAAGCGGCUCUCUGGUCUGUAACUGACGCUGAGGCUCGAAAGCGUGGGGAGCGAACAGGAUUAGAUACCCUGGUAGUCCACGCCGUAAACGAUGAGUGCUAGGUGUUGGAUCCUUUCCGGGAUUCAGUGCCGCAGCUAACGCAUUAAGCACUCCGCCUGGGGAGUACGACCGCAAGGUUGAAACUCAAAGGAAUUGACGGGGGCCCGCACAAGCGGUGGAGCAUGUGGUUUAAUUCGAAGCAACGCGAAGAACCUUACCAGGUCUUGACAUCCCGAUGCUAUUUCUAGAGAUAGAAAGUUACUUCGGUACAUCGGUGACAGGUGGUGCAUGGUUGUCGUCAGCUCGUGUCGUGAGAUGUUGGGUUAAGUCCCGCAACGAGCGCAACCCCUAUUGUUAGUUGCCAUCAUUCAGUUGGGCACUCUAGCGAGACUGCCGGUAAUAAACCGGAGGAAGGUGGGGAUGACGUCAAAUCAUCAUGCCCCUUAUGACCUGGGCUACACACGUGCUACAAUGGUUGGUACAACGAGUUGCGAGUCGGUGACGGCGAGCUAAUCUCUUAAAGCCAAUCUCAGUUCGGAUUGUAGGCUGCAACUCGCCUACAUGAAGUCGGAAUCGCUAGUAAUCGCGGAUCAGCACGCCGCGGUGAAUACGUUCCCGGGCCUUGUACACACCGCCCGUCACACCACGAGAGUUUGUAACACCCGAAGUCGGUGA
rnacentral:rRNA from 1 species